rnacentral:rRNA from 1 species
UACGUAUGGUCCUAGCGUUGUCCGGAAUGACUGGGCGUAAAGGGUGUGUAGGCGGAUGUAUGUGUCAGAUGUGAAAUACCUCGGCUUAACUGAGGCAUUGCGUUUGAAACUGUACAUCUUGAGCAUGUCAGGGGUAAGCGGAAUUCCCGGAGUAGCGGUGAAAUGCGUAGAUAUCGGGAAGAACACCGGUGGCGAAGGCGGCUUACUGGGGCAUAGCUGACGCUGAGGCACGAAAGCGUGGGGAGCGAAC